CCUACGGGGGGCAGCAGUGAGGAAUAUUGGUCAAUGGGCGCAAGCCUGAACCAGCCAAGUCGCGUGAGGGAUGACGGUCCUAUGGAUUGUAAACCUCUUUUGUCGGGGAGCAAGGCCUGCCACGUGUGGCGGGAAGGAGAGUACCCGAAGAAAAAGCAUCGGCUAACUCCGUGCCAGCAGCCGCGGUAUUACGGAGGAUGCGGGCGUUAUCCGGAUUUAGUGGGUUUAAAGGGUGCGUAGGCGGAAGGUUAAGUCAGCGGUAAAAUGUCGGUGCGCAACCCCGGACUGCAGUUGAUACUGGUCUUCUUGAGUGAGCGAGAAGUAUGCGGAAUGCGUGGUGUAGCGGUGAAAUGCGUAGAUAUCACGCAGAACUCCGAUUGCGAAGGCAGCAUACCGGCGCUCAACUGACGCUGAGGCACGAAAGCGUGGGGAUCGAACAGGAUUAGAUACCCUUGUAGUC
rnacentral:rRNA from 1 species